GGCCCGCGCCAAAAUCAAGAGUCGAGCGCUCAAUCGACUGAGCCACCCAGGCACCCUGAUGCAUUGCAAUGACUUAUGAGCCUCUUAGUAUAAAAGGAGGUGGGACUGGAUGCAGAGGGUCAAGGCAUCCUUCCGGCUUUUCCACGUACCCGCCUUCCUCACCUCACAGACAUCCUCACAGAGGAUGUCACCGCCUGCAAGGCGCCCCCGCAGACGUGCCGCGACAGGUGAAUGAGAUAGCAUCUCUGGAGGGUCUGCAAAGCUCGGGGGUGGUAGAGGUGGCCUCAGAGAUUAUGAAGCCUCGGCUUCUCCCUUGUUUUGCUUAGAGAGAGACAGGGAGCGACAGAGAGACAGAGGGAGAGCGGAGGUUAACAUGAGCCAAAGAUACAGGACCGAGCGCCCCAAUUCCCGUGUCUGGUUCCAGAUGAAAUACCACUCGUGCAGGGAGAGGAUCGCGCGGGGCUGGCAGUUCUGGAGGCCAGUCGAUUCUGCGCCGUUCCUGGAGGAAGAGAGUAGGUAGGUGCAGGCCACAAUGUGUCACUCUGUCCUGGGGGUAUUGAGUCUCCAGUUUCCAGUAUUAUGGCCAAGCUAAAGCUAUGGACCCGUAGAUACAAUGAUCUACUUUAGGUUUCAAGAUUUGUUAUCUCCUAAGUGAGACCAAGGAGAUGGCUUUUGCAAAGGUUUCCAGUGGGGGGGGGGGGGCGCGCAAACCAGAAUGCGACGUCUACAGGAAGGAACCCAGUGUGGUUUUCAUUAGGGCUUUAAGGUCUGAAGUCACUAUUGCUUUCGCAAGGAAAGAUGCGGUUAGAGUCUCUUUCCCCUUCCAGAUUGCAGGACCUCGUGGCCCCGUGUCCGUCCGCCGUAGCUCACUGGGGGCCAGAGGUGACUUCAGAAGGGAGUAGGGCCUCCGAUGCUGGCCUCCGCUCCUGUUCACAGGGCUGCCUCCUCUGAGUUUCCACGCCUGGCUAAGUGCGAUCACGCCAAGGUGUAUGCAACAGUGAAGGCACGUAUUACAUGCUCAGUGGAUGUUGUUAUAACAAAGAUCAUCAUCUCUUCUCUGCAGGGAACGUGGCUAUAAAAGGGAGUGACCACGUGCCUGCGUGUUUUAGGCACUUGGGGAACGUUACUCUUUUCUCUUAGAUGUUCUGUCGCGACAGACAAGGAUUGAGCAUGAGAAUAGAAGGUGACGUUUGCAGGGCUGACAAGAAGUGACCAGAACCUUAGAAUUUUGGAGGAGUAAUGAGGAGACAGAGGUGGGCAGCUCUCAGUUAGGUGCCCACACAUGUGUGCGCGUGCAUGAACCGCUCACGCACAACACGGAGGCUGUGAUGUUGAAUGUGACGUGAUGUUGAAUGUGCCAGGAGUUGGCUCAGAUAUGAGGCACGCUGGAGAGGCCGUGCCCUCACUCAGAUGCAGGGGCUGACCCGGAGGCUGGGCCUGGACAGAGGUGCCUCACCUGAGGGGUCCAGUAGGUGACUCUUCUUCAUACAUGGAAGUGAUGGAAGGCAGUGCAUUUCAGAGAAGCCCGAUGGAUUUCUCUAGGUUCCCGACAGUUGGAGGGAGGGUUCCCCCACUGGGGUAGGAGGCAAGGGGAGCUGAGAGCUGAAUGAUGAAGCAACAGGUGGGAGAACUGCCCUGAAGAAGUUUCUCAGCUCAGGCGUGUAUUGCCAAAACCAGGUUUUUAUCAGAAGCCUGAGCAUCUUAUGGGGUUGGGGGUCACUACCUUGUGACCGGUGCGGACAGAGCUGGGAGGCCACACACACCUCUGUCAGGGAAGGAGCCUCCCUGCUCCGUGUCUGGGGAGACAGACUGCUGGAAAACCUUGUUGGGUCGGGGCACCCGGGCUGUCCAGUCGCCCUGUGCAGAGGGACAAGUCUCAGCUGUGGUUGGGAUGGCUUGGGCACCUUUGUCCCAGCCAGGGACUCUCCAGGUCAGUAAGGGCGUCUCCGGAUGACUGGCCAAGAAAGCAAGUGCUAAGCGGGUGAGGGGUCCACUGUGAACUGAGACCAAAUGCAAAGGGGUCUGAUGAGGUGACAGAUAAGGGAUACUUUAUUGUGGCUUUUACGAUCAUUGGUCAUUUUACAAGUCUUCCCCGGGGCUCACCUGCUUUGAAACAUAGUAUUUCUACAACACAGGCAUCUACGAGUUAGCUUUUCAGCUGUCAUAAUAUUUGAUCAUUAAAUUCCACAGAUGAGGAACUCGACCUUUGAGAUAAGUAAUUUGCCCAGGUUUACGCAGCUUGAGAGGUGGAAAACGUGACCGGCCUCAGAGCUGGUGCUUUAUCUCUUGGCCUGAGUGUCCUAAACUCAUCUGGGUUCUCAGAAGUCAGAAUGGGUUGGUUGGUUCCUUCCUGAAGGUCAUUUAUGGCGAUGUGUGCAUUCAACCCUUGCCUGCAGGCAGCCUCUGGUGCUGUGUGGGUGUGUGCUUGUGAGUAGGGGAUGUUCACCCAAGCCUGCAUCAGAUUCCAUCUAAGCCAACCAGGGGCCCUUCCCACCGGGUGUCACCAAACACCCAGCAAGGCCAUUUGGCUGUUUUAUAGCACACGUGAGUGAGGCCGGGCUGGGUUCUGUCGUAUGAUGAGGCAUAAUUCCCUCUCGGGAAGCCCCGGAAACAUGUUUCUCUUCAGCCUGUUUAAAGGUUUUACUCUAUGAGAUAUUGGUUAAUGAUCACAAAGUAAUAAUCAUUUGCCAUUAAAAACAGGUGCUCGUCCCUGCACUUGACGCUGGUGUCUGGGGCCGCUGGGAGAAGAGCUGAGUCCGUACGCGGUGCACAGGCGUUGGCGGACGAAGGCUGCAAGCCCCAGGUGGGCAGAGCAUCCAGCUGAGGCCCCCUGAGCUUGCGCUUGGUGCUAUCUUACUACCACCGGUCCCAUUGGCUCAAGACCUUAUCAUUUCCUUGGGUGGGGGCUCUUCCCAGCCCUGUGGACGCCCUGUCCAAAUACAGGAAGGGCCCCGCACGCUGGAGUUAGUCUGGUGGGCCUGCACUGUCGCCCUGAUCUUCCUUAGAAAAAUACGAUUGACUGCCUAGAAAAAACGCCCAAAGACAGAUCCCAAGAAAACUGGUGACUGCUCACUGUGCAUGCCUGAUUCUCCAGGAGCGGUAAACCCGACUUUACUCGAACAAGGCACUGGGAGGAGACGUGUGGCUAGACUGCAGCCACGAGCAGCACCACCACCAAGCUCCUGGGCUCCGGAACGCGAUUUUGGGCUACAGGCCCUUCUCAACGCCUGUAACGUUGCCCCAGCGAUGCGACAGCUGUGGGCCGUGAGGGCCACUAGUUGGCCUCUUCGUGUUGGGGUCCACGUCAGAGAUUUUAUAGGAAGCAUGGGACAGGAAUGUAAGAAGCCAUGAUUCUUUAUCUGCUUAAGCAAAGUUCAGUUUGGUUCCCUCAGCGUGUCCAGAAGCAAAAGUACGAAACAAGGCUUCUCCUUCCCCUGGAUUGCGCCUUGGAACCUGGGAGCCCGGGAGCCCACCCACACCGAGGUCAUAUCCCAGAGAAUCAAGUCAGAACCCUUGGGGCUGAGACGUAGGCAGCAGUGGUUUCUCUUGGGCUCUUGAUCGCAUCGAUGUGCAGCCUCUCUUGAGAACCACUAGUGGGCCCGGGCUUAGAGAAGACAACAGGUGUGUUUGUUAUAUUAGAGAAACCAACCUUACUCCAUUCUGAAACAGCCAAGUUAUUUAUUUUUCAAUAGCUCCGUCUGGCUCUAGAGUGUUAUUUUUGGAUCCUCAACAUUCAGCAGUCAAUAAAAAUGCCUUGAACUUGACGGCUACAGAG